UGGGGGAAACCCUGACCGAGCAACGCCGCGUGAGUGAUGACGGCCUUCGGGUUGUAAAGCUCUGUUGUAAGGGAAGAACGGUAGAUAGAGAAUAUCUAAGUGACGGUACCUUACCAGAAAGCCACGGCUAACUACGUGCCAGCAGCCGCGGUAAU
rnacentral:rRNA from 1 species